GCCAGCGUGGCGUAGUGGUUAGAGCAUUGGACUAGGACUCUGGUGACCGGGGUUCAAUUCCCAGUUUGGCC